GAUGUGGUGCGACAGAAAGCGUGUUUGGGGAGAAAUCUCCUGACGGUUGUUCCCAGCUAUUGUGCUAUCUAGAUGGGAUCUGAGAAGCCUACCGGACUUACUGUGGCUUGAUAUGGUGACAGGGAAUCCCGGAUGUGGUGCGACAGCAAGCGUGUUUUUGGAGAAAUCUCCUGACCGUUGUUCCCAGCUAUUCUGCUAUCUAG